CAGAAGAGGUGGAUUUGAAUAUGCAGUGAUCGAUAAUACAAACAGGAAAGAAAGAAAAAAGCUCCAGUUCCUAUUCACAAGAUAAGGAAGUAGACAUCCCAACUGGUGUGGAUUGGAAUGUGCUUUUUGAACUUUGAAAUGUUUGCUCAUGCCAUCUGAUUUCUGAUGAGAAAUUUCUGACAAGAAAUUGAGUGACCAUUCUAUUGAGGAUCCCAUGCAUAUGGUGAUGUUAACAGUUGCUGUCCCAUGAACCACACUUCGAGUAAGAAGAUUUAUCAAAAACUUAUGCCUACUCAAUAAUGAGGGAUUGAUGGAAGAGAUUUUGGGGAGA